AGUUUAGUUUAAAAUACCAGCUUUGGGAGUUGGUGACAAAGGUUCGAUUCCUUUCUUUCUGA
rnacentral:tRNA from 1 species